rnacentral:rRNA from 1 species
UUCCGGUUGAUCCUGCCGGACCUGACUGCUAUCGGAUUGAUACUAAGCCAUGCGAGUUUUUGUAGCAAUACAAGGCAUACGGCUCAGUAACACGUAGUCAAUCUAACCUAUGGACGAGAAUAACCUCGGGAAACUGAGAAUAAUACUCGAUAGAUCAUUAUGCCUGGAACGGUUUAUGGUUAAAAUGAAUUUCGCCAUAGGAUGGGACUGCGGUCUAUCAGCUUGUUGGUGAUGUAAUGGACCACCAAGGCUAUAACAGAUACGGGCUCUGAGAGGAGAAGCCCGGAGAUGGGUACUGAAACACGGACCCAGGCCCUAUGGGGCGCAGCAGGCGAGAAAACUUUGCAAUGUGCGAAAGCACGACAAGGUUAAUCCGAGUGAUUCCUGCUAAAGGAAUCUUUUGUUUGUCAUAAAACCACUAAUGAAUAAGGGGUGGGCAAGUUCUGGUGUCAGCCGCCGCGGUAAAACCAGCACCUCAAGUGGUCAGGAUGAUUAUUGGGCCUAAAGCAUCCGUAGCCGGCUCUGUAAGUUUUCGGUUAAAUCCAUAUGCUCAACAUAUGGGCCGCCGGGAAUACUGCAUAGCUAGGGAGUGGGAGAGGUAGACGGUACUCCGUAGGAAGGGGUAAAAUCCUUUGAUCUAUGGAUGACCACCUGUGGCGAAGGCGGUCUACCAGAACACGUUCGACGGUGAGGGAUGAAAGCUGGGGGAGCAAACCGGAUUAGAUACCCGGGUAGUCCCAGCUGUAAACUAUGCAAACUCAGUGAUGCAUUGGCUUGUGGCCAGUGCAGUGCCGCAGAGAAGUCGUUAAGUUUGCCGCCUGGGAAGUACGUACGCAAGUAUGAAACUUAAAGGAAUUGGCGGGGGAGCACCACAAGGGGUGAAGCCUGCGGUUCAAUUGGAGUCAACGCCGG